GCCACGUGAUGAGUCCAAGGCGAAUGUGAUUUCCUUUUCCUCUGGUUAUGGCCUCUGACCCCUUGCGCUUGGUCUGUAAUCUUGGUGACUGUGCAGAAGCCCCUCACUGCCGCUGUAAGGCCAGACCAACAGUAGCUGUUUUUUCAGCUGGUCUCUCUGUGCAGCGCGAUAUGUUCACAGGAGGCUUAUUGCGUGCUAAUAUGAGACCUACAGGAUGGAUCAGUACCCGAGCAGUGCGGGGUCAGUGGCUGUCACCUCUUGGAGGUUAAAAGAAGGUAUGAGCACAUAUCUUUGGUAAUCUGAUGGCU
ensembl:snoRNA